rnacentral:rRNA from 1 species
GAUGAACGCUGGCGGCGUGCUUAACACAUGCAAGUCGAGCGAAGCACUAAAGCGGAUUUCUUCGGAUUGAAGGUUUAGUGACUGAGCGGCGGACGGGUGAGUAACGCGUGGGUAACCUGCCUCAUACAGGGGGAUAACAGUUGGAAACGGCUGCUAAUACCGCAUAAGCGCACAGUACCGCAUGGUACGGUGUGAAAAACUCCGGUGGUAUGAGAUGGACCCGCGUCUGAUUAGGUAGUUGGUGGGGUAACGGCCUACCAAGCCGACGAUCAGUAGCCGACCUGAGAGGGUGACCGGCCACAUUGGGACUGAGACACGGCCCAAACUCCUACGGGAGGCAGCAGUGGGGAAUAUUGCACAAUGGGGGAAACCCUGAUGCAGCGACGCCGCGUGAGCGAAGAAGUAUUUCGGUAUGUAAAGCUCUAUCAGCAGGGAAGAAAAUGACGGUACCKACUAAGAGCCUGAYUUYG